rnacentral:rRNA from 1 species
AUACGUCGGUGGCAAGCGUUAUCCGGAUUUACUGGGUGUAAAGGGCGCGUAGGCGGGGGUGCAAGUCAGAUGUGAAAUCUAUGGGCUUAACUCAUAAACUGCAUUUGAAACUGUAUCUCUUGAGUGCUGGAGAGGUAGACGGAAUUCCUUGUGUAGUGGGUAAAUGCGUAGAUAUAAGGAAGAACACCAGUGGCGAAGGUGGUCUACUGGACAGUAACUGACGCUGAGGCGCGAAAGCGUGGGGAGCAAACAGGAUUAGAUACCCUGGUAGUCCACGCUGUAAACGAUGAUUACUAGGUGUGGGGGGACUGACCCCUUCCGUGCCGCAGUUAACACAAUAAGUAAUCCACCUGGGGAGUACGGCCGCAAGGUUGAAACUCAAAUGAAUUGGCGGGG